rnacentral:rRNA from 1 species
CGGUGAAUACGUUCCCGGGCCUUAGUACACACCGCCCGUCAAGCCAUGGAAGCUGGGGGUGCCUGAAGUGCGUAACCGCAAGGAGCGUCCUAGGGUAAAACCGGUAACUGGGGCU